GUACUUCUGAACACCAUACCUAUGGCAGCAGAUUUAGGAAUUCCAAUGAAUUCUAAAAACAGAAUUAGCUGUUGUCAUUCCCCAGAAACGGUUACACUGCCAAUCCCUUCUGACGUAGUUUCGAAAAAAUAUAAAAUUGGAUACAAGAUAAUACGAAACAACAAGGAAACAUGAAACCGGCUAAGAGGAAAAUCCACAACGUAAACCUGAUUGGUAGUGGAAGCUAAGUUGAUAAUGCGAUAUUAACGUCACUGUGCCAUAGAAACAAGCACCUUGCAGACAUUACAGUAAAUUCCAUUUUAAAGACUUUACCAGUAUGACGCACUCGUCGGAAUUAAUUAUCUUGUUUAUAGUCCAUCCCGAGAUCUCAUAGAGACCGGUCAUGUAGCGCACAGUGACAUAGCCAAAUAAAUAAUCUAUCAAUUUAAAAGUCAAUGUAAUUAUUGAUAAUAAAAUUUAAGUGUCUACAUAUUGAGACAGUGAAAACUAGAAAAAUAACAGUGUACAAACAACAUGAGGCUUCAGAAUGCCGAAACCUUACGAUGAAUAAAGUUGUCGAUUGAAAGGAAGUGUUAAACAGAGUGCGCGCAGCAGGCUCAUGUGUUGGGCUGCAGCGGCCGCGGCUUGAUCAUCAUGGAGGCGCGCUUCAGCGUGUAGUCCCAGCCUCGCCAGCGGAACCACACGAUCCCUGCAACCGGACGACCGUGGAUUAGACUAGGAUACUAACGAUCAUAAACACUUGUGGAGGAACAUCAGGCAGCCGACGAAGCCGAAAAGUAACAAGCGAAACGAGCCGAAAAGUAACAAAUUCGUUUACCGCAGCGAGUAAGUUGACCCUUCCAAGGGGCCAGCCAGGAACGAAACUCUUAUAGAAAGUCAUUUAUUUAAGACGCUACAGGAGCGAAAAAAUUGGGAAUUUUAGUUAAAUAUACUAGUGUUAUUGACUAGAUUUAUCGCAAAAAAAUUGUCCAUUCAAGACAACUCAGUUAAAAGAUAUU
rnacentral:misc_RNA from 1 species